AUCAAGAUAGCUUAGUUGGUGGACCAUGAGACUUCUACUUUCAAGGUCAUGGGUUCAAGUCCCAUGCUGGGCAAAAGAUU